AUGAACGCUGGCGGCGUGCCUAACACAUGCAAGUCGAACGGAGAUGCGAUGUGAGCGAGAGGUGCUUGCACUGAUUAAUCUUUUCGUAUCUUAGUGGCGGACGGGUGAGUAACGCGUGGGUAACCUGCCUUAUACCGGGGGAUAACACUUAGAAAUAGGUGCUAAUACCGCAUAAGCGCACGGUGUCGCAUGACACAGUGUGAAAAACUCCGGUGGUAUAAGAUGGACCCGCGUCUGAUUAGCCAGUUGGCAGGGUAACGGCCUACCAAAGCGACGAUCAGUAGCCGGCCUGAGAGGGUGAACGGCCACAUUGGGACUGAGACACGGCCCAAACUCCUACGGGAGGCAGCAGUGGGGAAUAUUGCACAAUGGGGGAAACCCUGAUGCAGCGACGCCGCGUGAGUGAUGAAGUAUUUCGGUAUGUAAAACUCUAUCAGCAGGGAAGAUAAUGACGGUACCUGACUAAGAAGCACCGGCUAAAUACGUG
rnacentral:rRNA from 1 species